AAAAUUUAACUAAAAUGCUAGAAUUAUGAGAUUUCAGUAAUUUAGCAUGACUUAAUGGUGCUGGUACCGGAUAUAUGUGCAUUGUGUUGUCAAAAACAGCCCAUAUUUAUGUAGCAGAAGCAUUCUACUGUCCAAUAAAUAACUAAAGGUUUACAUUUUAACAAUUUUGUAAAACUGCUAUAUUUUGGGGCCAAAAAGGGGUCUUACUGAACCUACUCCUUUCAAAUGUACAUUAAAUUUACAAUUUCAUUUGGACUAGAUGGAGCAAGAAUCUGAAUUUCAAGUGUAUAUGGCUGUAGAAGACAGGUCUGAAAUGAUGAUGGAAUACUUCAAAUAUAUGCAAUAUAAAUAGCACAAAUGGCUGGUUUUUACACUUGUUGUUUUAUAUUUUUAAUAGCUUGCUGUAUCAAUAUUUUUGUUAAACAUUUCUAAAGUUUUAUAUAAUUUGAUAAAAGAUUUUAAAUAUAAAGUUGAUUGUGCACAUGAUUAAAAUCAGAUAAAUGCAAUUAUGUUAGUGCAAUGUUUGUAAAAAGACUGACUGCUUUUCUGAAAUUUGAUAUAUCUGCAUAGUUUUUUUUUGUUAGUUUAUUUGUUAAAGUAUCUUGUUUUAUUUUUACAUUCCUGAUUUCUUUCGGCUAUCAAUUGAUAUUCCAUUACAGCAUAAGUAUAUUUUUGUUUUCCAGAGGCUUACAAUGUCUCAUACAUCUUACAGUCAUAAGUCUUAAAUGGUUUUGAUAGUUUACCUUGCAUAUGAUAAUGUAUAUAAAAUUGUGACAAUAUUUAUAAACAAUUUACUUACUUAAUAAAUGUGUACUGUCUAUAAUUUUUAGGCUUUUUGGAGGGGAUAUUAGCAAUAUAUAUGUCCUGCUGUAUAAAUAAACAAUUAUUCCAACUGAG
rnacentral:lncRNA from 1 species